CAUUUCAGACCAGGGGUAUAGAGUUAAAAAAUACUGUUAAGUUGCACUUGGCCAUCAUUUCUGUAGUGGAGUUGUGAAAUACUAACAGCCUUCAAUAUUCACCAUAAGGCUGAAAGGAGUUGAUGUUUUACCUUUAAAACAAGAUUUAUCAGGGGUAUAUAUAAAUAUAUGUAUAUUGUAUAUAUGUUAGAAAGUUUAAGACUAACAUAUACCUAUCACCUGUGAUGGGGUUUGAUGCAGCCAGUCUGUUGCAUUAAUAAGAAUAAUGACACUCAAACUUCAAACAAUGGAAA
rnacentral:lncRNA from 1 species